CAUCUCUACCAUCUCUCUCUCUCUCUCUUUCUCUCCAAGCACGUACUUUUACGCGAGCUAGAGAUCUCAGUCAACGUUUCCGACCGAAGAUGAGCCAGAACAACCACCAGAACCAAAUCCCAGUGGCGUACCCACCACCGGCAUCAACAAUGGCGUACGUGGCGCCUCCACCACCCGGCUAUCCCACGAGGGACGCCCAACAGCCAGUGCAGAACACCAUCCCCAUCGAGACCAAGACUAGGGGCGACGGCUUCUGGAAGGGCUGCUGCGCUGCGAUCUGCUGUUGCUGCGUCCUGGAUGCCUGCUUCUAGGAAUUCCCAGGAGAGGAUCGCCUUCCGCUUGAUUCGUUGAUCUUUGUGUGUCGCAUUCGAUUCUACAGAUCUUUUGUCAUUCUUGCGAUAAAUGAACAUGUUCUAGUCACCAUAUACCUUUAUUAUUGCUGUGAUAUAUACUAGCGUUCUUGGGUUUUUCUUGCAUCUUUUAUGUCACACUUCAACCCCCAGUUUCCCUUC